rnacentral:lncRNA from 1 species
CAGAUAAUUUCUUAGAACUACAGGAAGAGCCGUUCUUAACAAAUAUUGCCAUCUGCAUCACUGAUCUGGAUGACGAAGUGGAUUCUUUCAAGACAGUGCAACCAGAACAAAAUACUGAAGGGCAGGGAUGCUACAGCUGAUCUGGACUGCAGUCUGUCCCAAGAACUGUGAAGGGUAGGGAUGAAGUGAUUUCUUCCUCUCCUACAAUAUACAUUUUCUGGAUUGAUUUGAUCGUGACCCUGAACACGCAUGAUUCUUACGCUAGAAGAUCUGGGUAUUGAACCACUACCUGGAUCUGCUGCUGCUCUGCCAUUUUCCUCUAGGCAAGGAACAACUCCCUCUUCCUCCUCUCCCUGGUUGACCAGAAGAAGGAAUGAAUCAAAACAAAGACGCAUGGGCUCCACGCAGAGGCAGGGCCUUUGCAUGAUGCCAUGCAAAGGGAUGUGCUCCCCAGGCUCAGGAUCGCUUGGCUUACAGAUCACAACAAUGGGUCUGUAUUCCCACCCACAUUUGCUUUUGGACCCAACUUGGGGGCUUGGAGAGAAGGGCGGCAGGGUCAGCGCACACAGAAGCUGCUUCCCGCUGGCAGACUAUGACCUUUUCAUGCAUUACCCACGGAUGUAUGAAAACCAUUCUGCAAACUGGAACUGAGUACCUCCAGAGAACAGCUUGUACCUGCAGAACCCA